GGGGUUGUGGCUCAGCGAUAAGAGCACUUGCCUAGCAUGUGUGAGGCACUGGGUUCAAUUCUCAGCAUCUCA
rnacentral:tRNA from 1 species